rnacentral:rRNA from 1 species
UACGGAGGGGGCAAGCGUUGUUCGGAUUUACUGGGCGUAAAGGGCGCGUAGGCGGCGCGUAAAGUCGGGCAUGAAAUCAUUGGGCUUAACCCGAUGGCUGUGCCCGAUACUUGCGUGCUUAGAGUGCGGGAGAGGUAAUCGGAAUUCUCGGUGUAGCGGUGAAAUGCGUAGAUAUCGAGAGGAACUCCGGUGACGAAGGUGGGUUGCUGGACCGACACUGACGCUGAGGCGCGAAAGCUAGGGGAGCAAACGGG